CUACGGGGGCUGCAGUGGGGAAUAUUGGACAAUGGGCGAAAGCCUGAUCCAGCCAUGCCGCGUGUGUGAAGAAGGCCUUCGGGUUGUAAAGCACUUUCAGUGGGGAAGAAAGCCUUGGGGCUAAUACCCUCGAGGAAGGACAUCACCCACAGAAGAAGCACCGGCUAACUCCGUGCCAGCAGCCGCGGUAAUACGGAGGGUGCGAGCGUUAAUCGGAAUUACUGGGCGUAAAGCGCGCGUAGGCGGUCUGAUAAGCCGGUUGUGAAAGCCCCGGGCUCAACCUGGGAACGGCAUCCGGAACUGUCAGGCUAGAGUGCAGGAGAGGAAGGUAGAAUUCCCGGUGUAGCGGUGAAAUGCGUAGAGAUCGGGAGGAAUACCAGUGGCGAAGGCGGUCUUCUGGACUGACACUGACGCUGAGGUGCGAAAGCGUGGGUAGCAAACAGGAUUAGAUACCCGUGUAGUC
rnacentral:rRNA from 1 species